UGCUGUCUAUGUCAGACUGAGGUUGUUCCAUGAGAUUCCUAUUGUGGAAACAAUAAUGCAACUAGUUACUCCACAUUUUCCACAUUAUCUUCUAGCUUUCUGGAAAACAGAGAGAGAGAGGAGGUUUUUACAAGAUUUCAAUGAAAGCCUGUGAAGGUUGUAACAAUAUCAGCUGAUAACAGUGGGAAAAGGGGAUUUAUAUAAACAACAGAACUAUAAAUACAGAAUAUAACCACCAUCAUGGUGCACACGUAUUUUGACCGGCUAUAAUGUAGGCUAAUCUAUUUUGUAACCAUUCACUUAAAUAAUUGCUGUUAUUAAAAGCAUAGGCUUUUUCUGUCAUCGGUAAAAGUAGAUGGUAGAUAGAAAUAUAUAGAUAUUAUUUUACAAAAAUAGGACCUGCUUUCUUUUUUUCUUUUUUUUUCUACAUCAAAUGCUACAGUCCAGGCUCCAGCUUGUUACUUUCAAUUUGACUAGUGAAACAACUGCGUCUCUGUCUCCAGUGACACUUGUAUAAAUCAGCAUUAAUUUGUCUGAGAAAAAAAAGUGGUGAAGAGGAAGCCUCUCUUUAUUUUUCUCACGGUGAUCUUACUUGACCACGCUUCAGGAUUCUCUCCAGAUGCUUUAGCAGGAGUAUAUGUUGGAUUUAUUGCUUUCUGUAUUGCUGUUGGUGUGGUUUUUAUGCUGGUGAUUGGAGGUGUAACUGCUUGUGUGAUUUACUGCUGCCACAGAAGAAUCACACGAGAAGAACAGAAUGGCAAGUAUCACAUUCAGCUGGUUUAAUAAAACAAUAUGAGAUUUGUUACAUAAGAGAUGUAGAGAUGUGCAUUUUUAUUCUAGUUAACCAACGUAAUGUGUGUUUGUUGUUGUUGUUCAAACAGACAUCAGGAUACAGUACACUAAUCGGGUAACUAACUGUCACUAUGAGCACUAAAUCUGAUUUAGAUAUGAUCACACAUAAGCACUUCUGAACUGACAUUUACACAGACUGUUAAAAUGCUGCUCAUAAAUGCUAGUAAAAUAACAAAAGCAAAAAUCGAAUGGUUAAAUGUAAACUAAAAUUACAAAGAAAAUGAUUCAAAAUAUUAAUAAAACUUUUUUUUUUUUUUUUUUUUUUUCCAGGAGAUAUAGAAGAAAUGACGUAGGGGAAUGAUGCUUAGUUGAUGACUUCUGCCUAAUCCAACCUCUCCUGUUCGCACUGAGAUAUCACUGUAACAUGUUUUAUUAUUUUGAUUCUUUAAAUGAUGUGCAGAUAAGAAACUAAAGAAGAGGAUAAAUGUCACAUUGCUAACAUGAAGAUAUUUUCAUUACAACACCAGAUUUCAGUAUUUCCUAAAAUGACUGAUAUAAUAGAACUGACUGUUGACACAAAUGCCUUGCCAAGAUGCAAGCGCUCUUCACAGAAUAUGUGCAUGAAUAUGCAAAAGAGUGUUUGAGGCAGCUAUCAAUGAAAUAACACACAGUUACUGAACUGAGAAAUGUUACAGCACACAAAUUUGUAAUGACGAUCAAUUUCACAUUUUUAUUUUUCCCCUAUAAUCUUCAUAUAUUUGUUCUGUAUGUUUUAUUGUGAGGUAUAAAAUUUGAAUACAGUAUUUUUGGACAUUUUUUGUUUUGUCUUUAAAGUGCCUUAACCCACAUAAAACACUAAAAAGGGGAACUUUCAUCUGAUCCAGUAAAUACGAGUCAGUGGGAGUUUGUGCAGCAGUAAUUAUUUUUAAGUUUAACUAAGCUAAUAUUAAGUCAGGAUGUGAGUGUCCUUUGUAUGUCUACAUCUGAAGUGUGAUUUUAACACUAAUGCACUAAACUUUACUCAUAUUUUUGGAAUAUUCUUGAUUAUGACACUAGAUGGCGUACUAGACUACAGCAUAUGUACAGAUUUAUGCAGGUCUUGUUCAUGAAAUACCAGGAGGUUUAUAAUAAGCACAUGCUGUGUUAUGCAAAAAUGUACACAGUUUGUAAACAGCAACAGUUAUUAUAGACCUAGUGAUUGCUAUUACAGUAAAACUAGUAUUCUAUCAGAGGCCACUGUCCUCAAAAAAGGAAAUUGGAACAAUUCUGAAAAACAGUAGAUACCUGUAUGGAAACAACAUUUCAACACAAAAUCAGAUUUUUGAGAUUGAGGUGCUUUCACGCCACACUUCAAAAAAAAAAAAAAAAAAAAAAAAACAC
rnacentral:lncRNA from 12 species